rnacentral:lncRNA from 1 species
AAUCCAAAAUUUUUUUUGAGCUUCGGGUCGGGCCUACGCCCUAGAAUCUUUGAAAAUAUGGGAUCCGAGCCCAGUCUAAAUCCAAUCGGACAGGCCCAUAUCAUUUGUGAUGGAUCAAAAGCAAGCUCAUCAGUAUUGCUGCUCGAGUCUUGCCGAUUAUCCCUGAGAGACAGAUAUUCUCCAUCGAAAGCAUAUUGGUCGUUGGAGAACUCGUCGAGUUGCUCCCGCAGCUG